UAGCCAGUUGGCGGGGUAACGGCCCACCAAAGCGACGAUCAGUAGCCGGCCUGAGAGGGUGAACGGCCACAUUGGGACUGAGACACGGCCCAAACUCCUACGGGAGGCAGCAGUGGGGAAUAUUGCACAAUGGGGGAAACCCUGAUGCAGCGACGCCGCGUGAGUGAAGAAGUAUUUCGGUAUGUAAAGCUCUAUCAGCAGGGAAGAAAGUGACGGUACCUGAAUAAGAAGCCCCGGCUAACUACGUGCCAGCAGCCGCGGUAACACGUAGGGGGCAAGCGUUAUCCGGAUUUACUGGGUGUAAAGGGAGCGUAGACGGCAAGGCAAGUCUGAAGUGAAAGCCCGGUGCUUAACGCC
rnacentral:rRNA from 1 species